rnacentral:rRNA from 1 species
UACAGAGGGUGCGAGCGUUAAUCGGAUUUACUGGGCGUAAAGGGCGCGUAGGUGGUUGCGUAAGUGAGAUGUGAAAUCCCCGGGCUUAACCUGGGAACUGCAUCUUAUACUGCGUAACUGGAGUACGAUAGAGGGUAGUGGAAUUUCCGGUGUAGCGGUGAAAUGCGUAGAUAUCGGAAGGAACACCAGUGGCGAAGGCGGCUACCUGGAUUGAUACUGACACUGAGGCGCGAAAGCGUGGGGAGCAAACAGG